CGCAGCCUACGGGGGGCAGCAGUGGGGAAUAUUGCACAACGGGGGGAACCCUGAUGCAGCGACGCCGCGUGGGUGAAGAAGUCAUUCGUGACGUAAAGCCCUAUCAGCAGGGAAGAAAAUGACGGUACCUGACUAAGAAGCCCCGGCUAACUACGUGCCAGCAGCCGCGGUAAUACGUAGGGGGCAAGCGUUAUCCGGAUUUACUGGGUGUAAAGGGAGCGUAGACGGCGGCGCAAGUCCGGAGUGAAAGCCCACGGCCCAACAGUGGGACGGCUCUGGCAACUG
rnacentral:rRNA from 1 species